GACGAACGCUGGCGGCGUGCCUAAUACAUGCAAGUCGAGCGGACGAAUCGAAAGCUUGCUUUUGAUUCGUUAGCGGCGGACGGGUGAGUAACACGUGGGCAACCUGCCCUGUAGACGGGGAUAACACCGAGAAAUCGGUGCUAAUACCGGAUAACACGAAAUGUCGCAUGACGUUUCGUUGAAAGACGGCGCAAGCUGUCGCUACAGGAUGGGCCCGCGGCGCAUUAGCUAGUUGGUGAGGUAACGGCUCACCAAGGCGACGAUGCGUAGCCGACCUGAGAGGGUGAUCGGCCACACUGGGACUGAGACACGGCCCAGACUCCUACGGGAGGCAGCAGUAGGGAAUCUUCCGCAAUGGACGAAAGUCUGACGGAGCAACGCCGCGUGAGCGAAGAAGGUCUUCGGGUCGUAAAGCUCUGUUGUUAGGGAAGAACAAGUAACGCAGUAACUGGCGUUACCGUGACGGUACCUAACGAGAAAGCCACGGCUAACUACGUG
rnacentral:rRNA from 1 species